rnacentral:rRNA from 1 species
GACGAACGCUGGCGGCGUGCUUAACACAUGCAAGUCGAACGGUAAGGCCCUUCGGGGUACACGAGUGGCGAACGGGUGAGUAACACGUGGGUGAUCUGCCCUGCACUUCGGGAUAAGCCUGGGAAACUGGGUCUAAUACCGGAUAGGACCCUGGGAUGCAUGUCCUGGGGUGGACAGCUUUUGCGGUGUGGGAUGGGCCCGCGGCCUAUCAGCUUGUUGGUGGGGGGAUGGCCUACCAAGGCGACGACGGGUAGCCGGCCUGAGAGGGUGACCGGCCACACUGGGACUGAGAUACGGCCCAGACUCCUACGGGAGGCAGCAGUGGGGAAUAUUGCACAAUGGGCGCAAGCCUGAUGCAGCGACGCCGCGUGAGGGAUGACGGCCUUCGGGUUGUAAACCUCUUUCAGCACCGACGAAGCGCAAGUGACGGUAGGUGCAGAAGAAGGACCGGCCAACUACGUGCCAGCAGCCGCAGUAA